UUACAUACACCAUUCAUUUAUUUGCACUAGCAUAUCUAGUUUUCAAAGAUGAUACUGUUUUUCAUCAGAUAUGUAUCGAGGGGAAUAUUGCGAGUGGAAAAACAACAUGCCUGGAUUAUUUUGCAGAAACUACCAGCAUUGAGGUUUUGACAGAACCAGUGGCUAAAUGGAGAAAUGUUCGUGGUCAUAAUAUUCUGGGCUUAAUGUACCAAGAUGCAUCAAGAUGGGGGAUAACAUUACAGACAUACAUACAGCUUACCAUGUUGGAACAGCACACCAGACCAA